ACUUACAUGUUGUUGUUGUUUUCAGAAACCAGCAAACAUUCUAGUAAUGGGUGAAGGUCCUGAAAGAGGAAGAGUGAAAAUUGCUGAUAUGGGAUUUGCUAGGCUCUUCAAUUCUCCCCUGAAACCCCUGGCUGAUCUUGAUCCUGUUGUAGUGACAUUUUGGUAUAGAGCUCCUGAACUUCUGCUUGGAGCAAGGCAUUACACCAAAGCAAUAGAUAUAUGGGCCAUUGGUUGUAUCUUUGCUGAACUUCUGACCUCUGAACCAAUAUUUCACUGUCGACAAGAAGAUAUCAAAACUAGUAAUCCAUAUCAUCAUGAUCAACUGGAUAGGAUAUUCAGUGUCAUGGGAUUUCCUCAAGAAAAAGAAUGGGAGGAUAUAAAGAAAAUGCCUGAACAUGGAACUCUAUUAAAAGAUUUCAAAAAGACACAAUAUUCUAGCUGUUCUCUGAUUAAGUAUAUGGAGAAACACAAAGUUAAACAAGACUCUAAAGCUUUCUUAUUGCUCCAAAAACUGUUACUCAUGGAUCCUACAAAGAGAAUAACCUCAGAGCAGUGUCUUCAGGAUUCUUAUUUUUUAGAAGAUCCUCAUCCAACUCAGGAUGUUUUUGCUGGAUACCCCAUUCCAUAUCCAAAGAGAGAAUUUUUGACAGAUGAGGAACAAGAGGAUAAAGCAGAUGCUAGUAAAACUACUGUAGCAAAUAAUCAAGGCAAUCAAGACAACAACCAUGGUCCAAGUGCCAAACGUGUUCGGAUAGCGCCACCUGUUGUCACCACUUCUACAGCAUCCACUAAUCAGGAAAUAUUCAAAAUAUCUUUUCAAUGAACAAUCCAAGCCAUCCCUACAUAGGCAGUGCUACCACCUGCCUGAUAAUUUCAACGUUUCUCAUAACGAUAACAUAUCAAAUGGCUUAGCUGGAGGUGUACAACAUAGCCAACCCACAAUGCCUUUCAGUUCAGUAGCGAACAACCCACAACCUUCAGGGAAUGUAGGAUUUCCUCAGGGCUUCUAGUCCUGGUUAACUGUGAUAGCCACUUCUCUUGUAAGAUUGAUUGAGUUUUAAAGUGUGAAAGAAAAUGUAUUCAAAACAUUCCCAUAAAUAAGGUCUGUCCUAUUUAGACUACAAUGCAAAAUGAAUGUACACUAAAGCUUUACUUAAAGGUCAGUUUUAAAAGAUCUGCAAAUGCCAACCUGAUUUUUCUAAAGCAUUUAAUUUUUUUGUUUUUCCUUAAAGCAGUACUUGCGAGAACAACUAUAGAAAGGAUUGUUUUAUCUAAAGAAGCAGGUUAUUUGUAUCAUUCUACUUUAUGCGGGUAUGAAAUAAUUAAGAAAUUUGAACUUUGUUAAACCCUCUUAUUGUCAAUAUAUAUUGUUCACUAGAUAAUCAAAAAUAAUUAUUAUUUUGUGAAACUUGCAUUUUGAUUUUUAUGUCCUCAGGAAUUUAUACACAGUGUGAAAUGAACUGUUAGAUUCUGUGUUAAUACCCAACCAUUGAAGUACAAAAGAAUGGAAAGUUAUAUUUCUUUCUGUAAUUCCAAGGCCAAUCACAUAAAGGGUUGAUGUAUCUGAGUAAAACAUUAUAAAAUUAAUGUUAUAAAUCAACCAGAGUAGUGUUGCAUUCUGUAACUUUCAAGUUGUUUCUAGUCUAAACACUGGCUUUUCUUGCUCUGUUGUUUCAAGUAAUGUUCUAACUCAACCAGAGUAGUGUUGCAUUCUCUAACUUUCAAGUUGUUUCUGGUCUAAACACUGGCUUUUCUUGCUCUGUUGUUUCCAGUUUAAACAUUGGCUUUUCUUGCUGUCACAGAAUCAGUCUUUGGUUGCCUAACUACCAAGAAAAUACUUUGUUCAAUGACUACUUUCUAGGGCACAUACACCAGCUGUUCCAAUUUACAAAACUAGGCUCUGUUUAUUCAUGAAAACUUAACUUUUAACAUUAAUUUCUAAAAAGGAAAUUGCAUUUUUAAAAUUCCCUGUUGAUAGUAACAAAAGAUUAAAAUAAUUGAAAAUUUGUUUUAUUCACACAGAGUCACUACAGUAAGGAAAAAUUAAUGUUGUUUCAAAUAUCACAGGCCAGUGAAGCUACUGAUACACUAAUGUCUAUCUAAGAAAUUAUAAAGGAUUCCUGAAGAGAUAACACGUGUGAACAUGAAUUUCUGCAGGUUAUUUUGUUUCUCAGGUACUUAAGUUGAAUAUGUUUACAUAUUUUCAGUAUUAACUCAAGAUGGUUUGUAAAACAAGUGUAUUUAGUAUGAAGUGCAUCACCAUAAUUUGUAAAAUAAGGUCAGUUUUGUUUUAUAUACAGGAAAACCUGAUUGUGCAGCAUUUCUGAAUAAGUAAUGCUUUUUUAAGAGGCCUUGUCCUAAAUGCCUAGUUUUGAGAAGAAUUCUGGAUAUAAAGUGACAAUAAAGUUAUUUCUUGCA